GACAGAGGUGCCGAGCGUUAGGCGGAAUCACUGGGCUUAAAGCGUGUGUAGGCGGACCCAUAAGUACCUUGUGAAAUCCCACGGCUCAACCGUGGAACUGCUGGGUAUACUGCGGGUCUUGAGCAACCUAGGGGCAGACGGAACAAGUGGUGGAGCGGUGAAAUGCGUAGAUAUCACUUGGAACGCCGACGGUGAAAACAGUCUGCUGGGGGUUUGCUGACGCUGAGACACGAAAGCCAGGGGAGCGAACGGG
rnacentral:rRNA from 1 species